ACAAAGGAUAACAGCCUCAGAGGACUUAGGGCAAGGCCAGUAAUUAAAUUGACCUACAUUUUUUUCUAAAUUUAAUUAAAUUUUAACCUUCACAUGGAGAAGACACUAAUGCUUAUUUUCAUUAUGACUGCAGAUAUCACUGCUGGUAAUACAAUUGGACCUCCACAGGAUGAAACGUCUAUCACCAAAAGAGAGAAAGACACCACCACUCUGAGAUGUUCCUAUAAAAGCAGUAACAGCUACAUUCAACUGCACUGGUUCAGGCAGUUUGCAGACCAGGCUCCUCAGGACUUACUCUACAAAGGCGCCAAAUCAGAAAGGCAACAGCACUCCAGUGAUCCUCGCUUUUCCUCAACCACAAAUGACUUAUCCACUGAGCUCAUCAUAAGAAAUCUGACUCUGGCAGACACAGCUCUCUACUACUGUGCACUAAGGGCUGCCCAGUGACAUAAAGCCACGGAGAAGCUGUACAAAAACUCAGAUGGUGUUGUGCAAAUGGAAGAAAGUAAAAAAGGGCCUCUUAACCACAAUUUGUUAUCGGCUGAACAGCAACUGAGGCCCCCACAUUUCCCCGAGCACACAC